rnacentral:rRNA from 1 species
UACGUAGGGUGCAAGCGUUGUCCGGAAUUAUUGGGCGUAAAGGGCUCGUAGGCGGUCCAUCGCGUCGGGAGUGAAAAGCUGGGGCUUAACCCCAGUCCUGCUUCCGAUACGGGUGGACUAGAGGUAGGUAGGGGAGAACGGAAUUCCUGGUGUAGCGGUGAAAUGCGCAGAUAGCAGGAGGAACACCGGUGGCGAAGGCGGUUCUCUGGGCCUUACCUGACGCUGAGGAGCGAAAGCAUGGGGAGCAAACAGG